GGAAGUAAACGUCGUAACAAGGUUUCCGUAGGUGAACCUGCGGAAGGAUCAUUCAUAAUAAGUGUUUUAUGGCACUUUUUUAAAUCCAUAUCCACCUUGUGUGCAAUGUCAGGGUUGAUUUUUCUUUCGAGAGGAUCAGCCCCAAACAUCAACUAUAUCUCAACUCUUUGUCUGAAAAAUAUUAUGAAUAAAACAAUUCAAAAUACAACUUUCAACAACGGAUCUCUUGGCUCUC
rnacentral:misc_RNA from 1 species